rnacentral:snRNA from 1 species
GUGCUCGCUUCAGCAGCACAUAUACUAAAACUGGAACAAUACAGAGAAGAUUAGCAUGGCCCCUGUGCAAGGAUGACAUGCAAAUUCAUGAACUGUUCCAUAUUUUU